GAUGAACGCUAGCGACAGGCUUAACACAUGCAAGUCGAGGGGCAGCACAGGUAGCAAUACCGGGUGGCGACCGGCGCACGGGUGAGUAACGCGUAUGCAACUUACCUAUCAGAGGGGGAUAACCCAGCGAAAGUCGGACUAAUACCGCAUGAAGCAGGGGUCCCGCAUGGGGAUAUUUGCUAAAGAUUCAUCGCUGAUAGAUAGGCAUGCGUUCCAUUAGGCAGUUGGCGGGGUAACGGCCCACCAAACCGACGAUGGAUAGGGGUUCUGAGAGGAAGGUCCCCCACAUUGGUACUGAGACACGGACCAAACUCCUACGGGAGGCAGCAGUGAGGAAUAUUGGUCAAUGGCCGAGAGGCUGAACCAGCCAAGUCGCGUGAGGGAUGAAGGUUCUAUGGAUCGUAAACCUCUUUUAUAAGGGAAUAAAGUGCGGGACGUGUCCCGUUUUGUAUGUACCUUAUGAAUAAGGAUCGGCUAACUCCGUG
rnacentral:rRNA from 1 species